UAGGGAAUCUUCCGCAAUGGGCGAAAGCUUGACGGAGCAACGCCGCGUGGGUGAUGAAGGUCUUCGGAUCGUAAAACUCUGUUAUUAGGGAAGAACAAAUGUGUAAGUAACUAUGCACGUCUUGACGGUACCUAAUCAGAAAGCCACGGCUAACUACGUGCCAGCAGCCGCGGUAAUACGUAGGUGGCAAGCGUUAUCCGGAAUUAUUGGGCGUAAAGCGCGCGUAGGCGGUUUUUUAAGUCUGAUGUGAAAGCCCACGGCUCAACCGUGGAGGGUCAUUGGAAACUGGAAAACUUGAGUGCAGAAGAGGAAAGUGGAAUUCCAUGUGUAGCGGUGAAAUGCGCAGAGAUAUGGAGGAACACCAGUGGCGAAGGCGACUUUCUGGUCUGUAACUGACGCUGAUGUGCGAAAGCGUGGGGAUCAAACAGG
rnacentral:rRNA from 1 species